AAGGAUUUUAAUAAUUUCGGAACGUUCCUAUAUUAUUCGAAAACUAAAUUUAUUUUAUGUUAACGAUAUUUAUUAAAGAAUUAUUUCACAAUCUGUUUUUAAUUAAACAUUUCUAUUUAUAUAGGAUUCCUAAAUAUAGCAAAGGAAUUUCUGAAUUUUACCCACCUUAUGAAAUAACCCAAAAUGCUAUUUAAAAUUUAAAAAAAAAAAAAAAAAAAAAGGGAAAUCCCCUAGCUUUCCCCCCUUCUCCUACGUGUAUGGGUACAAUAAGGGUCAAAAUUUCCUAGUUUCUUUGACUCCUCUUUACCCACAAUGCAGUCUAAGUUCAUUUUCUUGACCCCCAAGUACCUCUCCUUCUUCUUUACUCUACUUCCAUGCUGAGAUCAUGGGUGAUGUCCAUUGAAUUCCAAUUACCUUAUAAAUAGAGAUGAAAUCUGUUUCCCAUUUUCACAACAAUUCGGUGGAGUAAUCUAACAAAAAAACCUCAAGUCCUCUAGCUAUUCCCCUGUUUCGAAACAAACCACCAACGCCACCUCUUGUGGCCACCACCAUAGACACCGCAGCUCUGCCACUGCAACUACUUCCACCACCGCAAACACCCCCGCAUCCCCUCCCCGGUUCGCACUCCCUUUCCCUUGCUGUUCCGCCACCGUGCCGCAACCACCGCACUCCGCCCACCUUUCCCAGCCACCCUCACUGCCUGUACACCUCUUUCGCCGCCCAUAAUCGACCGGAAACACCCAUUUCCCUGCUUUCCCCGUUCGCACGACCCUUCCCCCUUCCUUGCUGUUUCGCCGUCGCGAACCACCACCAUUGUCACCACCGCAUCACCUCACCGGUGGAAGCACCACUGAACUUUGCCGCCCAGAAACUCCGACCACCUGACCACCUCCAUGUGUCACCCUAGUGAUGUUGCCGCUAACUCACGCACGCCUCACCUCUCCUUUUUCUUGCCUCUGUUUCGUCUAAUGUGAAACCAGGUGGUUGGGACCUUGCUCCAAAUCCCAAUUAAUAUGCUGCUAAUAUUUUCUUUUCAAAAAAAAAAAAAAAAAAAAAAGUCAACUAUACUUACCAACCACUAAAGACAAAAUUGGUAUUCUCGGAGCUCAGGAAGAACGGUCCAUCGAACAGGAAGUAUAAACUACGGUUGAGGUACGAAGAAGAUCAUGGGAUGCCUUAGAGUGAGGAUGCAACCACCAAAUUCACGAUUGAUGUUUAGUAAAGAUAACUAUGUCAUUAGUAAUAAAGGGAUGUAUUAUUUAAAGUCUAAGUUUGAUUUCAUGAUUUGAGUUAGAUUUUAAUAUUAAUGUUUAAUCAGAUGUUAAAAGUGUUUAUUAUUAAAGUUUAUUUAGUAAUUUAAAAAGGUUAUGUCGCCUUGUAUUUCCCACGAGGGAAAUAGGCAUGUGACACUCCGACUAAAUUAGGGUUUCCGCUGCUAAUUAAAGAUAAUUAACCUAAUUUAUGGUGUUUAGAAG